UGACCGCUAGCGGGAUGCUUUACACAUGCCAGUCGAACGGCAGCGCGGACUUCGGUCUGGCGGCGAGUGGCGAACGGGUGAGUAAUGUAUCGGAACGUGCCCAGUAGCGGGGGAUAACUACGCGAAAGCGUAGCUAAUACCGCAUACGCCCUACGGGGGAAAGCAGGGGAUCGUAAGACCUUGCACUAUUGGAGCGGCCGAUAUCGGAUUAGCUAGUUGGUGAGGUAACGGCUCACCAAGGCGACGAUCCGUAGCUGGUUUGAGAGGACGACCAGCCACACUGGGACUGAGACACGGCCCAGACUCCUACGGGAGGCAGCAGUGGGGAAUUUUGGACAAUGGGGGCAACCCUGAUCCAGCCAUCCCGCGUGUGCGAUGAAGGCCUUCGGGUUGUAAAGCACUUUUGGCAGGAAAGAAACGUCGCGGGCUAAUACCCCGUGGAACUGACGGUACCUGCAGAAUAAGCACCGGCUAACUACGUG
rnacentral:rRNA from 1 species